CUUACCAGCACCAAGCUCUAGGCGCCUGCCCAACGCCAGACUUCAAGCCUGGCAGACUGCCGGGAUUGCCCUUCUCUUGCUCCUGGAGCUGCUGCAGCCCCCGAGGCACUAGUCUAAAGUGGACUGCUGCCUCCCCCGCCCACCAACACCCGGGCAUUCCGCGCGCGUCAUUCGGGUCCUCCGACUCACACCUGAAUCUGGAGCACAGGAGGUUGGCUGGAUAGGUCAGCGGAUGGCCGGCUCUGGGAGCAACAGCAGGAAAGGAUUUCCUGAGGCCGGAGGUGAGUGCUGCCAGCCCCAAGGACAGGAAGAAGUGAUGUAUCUGGAGGGUCACACGGUGUUGAAGCCUUCCCCCUGGGCUGGCCAUUCACGUUGGCAAGCUCAAAGCUGGCGUGUGAGCUGGAGCCACACGCCUGGGAGAGGAUGCAGGGAGCAUUGUGGAUGGCCUGGAGAAAAGGUGAGGCUGGCUGCAUCAAGAACCACUGUCACAGACAGGCUGGACUCGGUCCUCACUGCCACUCUGGGGACCAGGACAGAACUACCACUACCCAAAGGCUCAGAGAUGGGCAGUGCCU